rnacentral:rRNA from 1 species
GUGGGGAAUAUUCCGCAAUGGACGAAAGUCUGACGGAGCAACGCCGCGUGAGCGAUGAAGGUUUUCGGACUGUAAAGCUCUGUUGUUUAGGACGAAAGUGCCUGCUGCGAACAGUUGCAGGUAUUGACGGUACUGAACGAGGAAGCCACGGCUAACUACGUGCCAGCAGCCGCGGUAAUACGUAGGUGGCAAGCGUUGUCCGGAAUUAUUGGGCGUAAAGAGCAUGUAGGCGGGAAUCUAAGUCUGUUGUGAAAAUGCGGGGCUCAACCCCGUAUGGCGAUGGAAACUGGAUUUCUUGAGUGCAGGAGAGGAAAGGGGGAUUCCCAGUGUAGCGGUGAAAUGCGUAGAUAUUGGGAGGAACACCAGUGGCGAAGGCGCCUUUCUGGACUGUGUCUGACGCUGAGAUGCGAAAGCCAGGGUAGCGAACGGGAUUAGAAACCCCAGUAGUCC